UAGCACGUCUUUAGCACAACAGAAGGUUCGGUUGGCAGGAGUCUGAAGACUGGACGAGAUGGUGUCACUUGAGCUCUAUGGAGAUUUAAUAAGAGACAUGAUUGAUCAAAACCUCUCGCACGCGGACAUUUCCACGAAUUUAUCACAAUAAGGUGUGCAGCGAUGUUCUGAAAUGAGUGUCAGGAGAUUUUGUGCACAACAUUGUGCAACAUUUCCAGGAGGGGACAUGUAUCCGACACACAAUUAGAAGUUGCUAUCAGCAGGGCAAUAAAUCAGACAGGGUCAACAUAUGGUUGAAAGAUGAUGACCAGGUACCUGUCUGCGAUGGGAGUAGUUGCUGGUGAACGCCAGAUAGGGAGGAUUUUGAAAACAACACAUUGUCCUUAUCACGAAAUGCGCAAACGUGGUGCACGUAACCUUAACCCCGUCCCCUACAGUGCUGCAUACAUGGGACACAAAAUCCACAUCGACCAGAAUGAAAAACUGGUCAUGUUCGGAGUGACGCACGUUUUUGCAGUAGAUGGGUACAGCAGUAAGGACGUUGCCCAUGCAACCAUGCCUGUCAAGAAUAACCUCACGAUAUAUGAGGAAGUUUACAGAUCAGCAGUUCUUGAAGAUGGGAUGUGGGACCAGGUCAGGGUGGACCAUGGCCGUGAGUUUUACUUGUCCCUCUACAUGCAGGAGAUGCUGUCUAACCACAGACACAACUUGCAAAGGUGGAAGCUGAAUUAGUGAGGAUGACUCCUGCUCCUGUCAUCUCUAAGCUCCUCACACAUCUUUACCUGCACAUGAGGAAAAUCACUCCUGUAGAAUGCAGGUAUGUUUGUCAUUAUUAUAAAAAGAUGUUGACUGGUGACCUGUCAGAAACCCAUUAUACAGAGUCAGCCAAAAUAAUGUUUACACACAUCAGGAAAAGAAAAACUAGCAUAAAUAUUUCAAUACCAAAUUUAUUCAGACAUCCUGAGAUUAAUAAAAGUUAUCUUUGGCCUCUACAAUUACAAGAGGUGCUCAAAGUGGUGGCCACUGGCUUCCAGACAUUUCUGUUCUGUUGUAGACGUCACUUAUUGAUGCUCCAUUCAUGAGGGUAAUGCCAUCUGUUGGGAAAACGUCGUACAACAGGACACAGAGUUAUCGUGAUUUGAUCAAACUUUGAAAGAGGAAUCUAUAUGUAUAGAAGUACUUAUACAAAUGAAAUAUUUAUAAAAGUUUUUCUUUUCCUGAUGUGUGUAUACAUUAUUUUUGGCUGACUCUGAACUUAAUGAGAACAAAACUGUCAUUUAAUCGUUUCUCUGAAAGCUUCUUUAGUGAAAACCGGCUGGUGUUCUGCUUUGAAACAAACUGCUGUUGAGGUCUGUGUUUAUAGGUUUAACCCCACAGUUUCUGAAUGAACUGAUAGUUGUUUUUUUCCCUGAUCAAUGUGGACGUUAUAAUUGAUGGUAACAUUUACUGGUCAUAUAAUCAGCAUGACAAUACAACAGUAUAACAUUAUGACCACCUGACUAAUACUGUGUUGGUCCCUUUAUGCUGCUAAAACUCCUCUGACCCAGUGGUUCAUCAGAACCUCUGGGGAUGUCCUGUGGAUUCUGUGGAUCCUGUGGGUUGCAGGGUGGGUCCUACCUAGACCAGGCUGAUCCUGGACCAUCCCACAGAUGCUCCAUCAGAUGUGGAUGUGGGGAGUGUGGAACCCAGAUGUUCAGAGGGAGAUGAUGCCACAUCUGGUCCAGCUGAUGGAAGGUCUUGAAGUUCUCUGACUGGCCUCGACUGAAGAUGGUCGUCUCACUGGAUUUAAGAGAUGCACAAUGAGGGACGUCUGCAGAGACUGAGAAAGAGUCUCACCACAUCCUGACAUGAGGAAAAAGACUUUAUUGAAGACUGCAAUGAGAAAAACUAUCAGACAGCAGAUGGCUGCCAUUCAAGGUGAGCUCUGAACAUUUGAUCUGGAACAGGAAUUCAAUAACGGCAGCAUGAGCUUCAUUUCAGUCUGUAGCUGCUGAAUUCAUGGAUGAAUCAUCUGGCACUCGAGAGGAAGACCAUCAAACAUCCAUGUCAGCUGAUGGAGGUCCAAGAGUCUCACCGAACAAACAACCUACAGAGUGAAGACCUCAAAUCUGAUUGGACGGCCUCCUAUUCAGCCACGUGUGAACAAAUGCCUCUAAGCUGAUUUGUUUUCUAAAAUAAAUCUAGUUUGAGUCCUAAUCUAUGCCUGUGUGUUUGCUUCUUUACACCGCUGUUAACAGUUUAGGCUGUUAGAUUGUUCCAGAUAAGACAAGUAC
ensembl:lncRNA